GGGCCUAUAGCUCAAUCGGUUAGAGCAGCUGACUCAUAAUCAGCGGGUUCGGGGUUCAAGUCCCUGUGGGCCCA
rnacentral:tRNA from 1 species